rnacentral:rRNA from 1 species
GACGAACGCUGGCGGCGUGCUUAACACAUGCAAGUCGAACGGUGAAAGCGGAGCUUGCUCCGCUGGAUCAGUGGCGAACGGGUGAGUAACACGUGGGCAACCUGCCCCUCACUUCGGGAUAACUCCGGGAAACCGGGGCUAAUACCGGAUAUGACCUCCUUGGGCAUCCUUGGAGGUGGAAAGUUUUUCGGUGAGGGAUGGGCCCGCGGCCUAUCAGCUUGUUGGUGAGGUAGUGGCUCACCAAGGCGACGACGGGUAGCCGGCCUGAGAGGGCGACCGGCAACACUGGGACUGGGACACGGCCCAGACUCCUACGGGAGGCAGCAGUGGGGAAUAUUGCGCAAUGGGCGAAAGCCUGACGCAGCAACGCCGCGUGCGGGAUGACGGCCUUCGGGUUGUAAACCGCUUUCAGCAGGGAAGAAGCCGCAAGGUGACGGUACCUGCAGAAGAAGCACCGGCUAACUACGUGCCAGCCGCCGCCGUAA